rnacentral:rRNA from 1 species
GAUGAACGCUGGCGGCGUGCCUAAUACAUGCAAGUCGAGCGAAUGGAUUAAGAGCUUGCUCUUAUGAAGUUAGCGGUGGACGGGUGAGUAACACGUGGGUAACCUGCCCAUAAGACUGGGAUAACUCCGGGAAACCGGGGCUAAUACCGGAUAACAUUUUGAACCGCAUGGUUCGAAAUUGAAAGGCGGCUUCGGCUGUCACUUAUGGAUGGACCCGCGUCGCAUUAGCUAGUUGGUGAGGUAACGGCUCACCAAGGCAACGAUGCGUAGCCGACCUGAGGGGGUGAUCGGCCACACUGGGACUGCGACACGGCCCAGAGUCCGACGGGAGGCAGCAGUAGGGAAUCUUCCGCAAUGGACGAAAGUCUGACGGAGCAACGCCGCGUGAGUGAUGAAGGCUUUCGGGUCGUAAAACUCUGUUGUUAGGGAAGAACAAGUGCUAGUUGAAUAAGCUGGCACCUUGACGGUACCUAACCAGAAAGCCACGGCUAACUACGUGCCAGCAGCCGCGGUAA